rnacentral:tRNA from 2 species
GCAGUGGUGGUUCAGUGGUAGAAUUCUCACCUUCCACGUGGGAGACCUGGGUUCGAUUCCCGGCCAGUGCA